UACGAAGGGGGCUAGCGUUGUUCGGAUUUACUGGGCGUAAAGCGCACGUAGGCGGAUUGUUAAGUCAGGGGUGAAAUCCUGGAGCUCAACUCCAGAACUGCCUUUGAUACUGGCAAUCUUGAGUCCGGAAGAGGUGAGUGGAACUCCUAGUGUAGAGGUGGAAUUCGUAGAUAUUAGGAAGAACACCAGUGGCGAAGGCGGCUCACUGGUCCGGUACUGACGCUGAGGUGCGAAAGCGUGGGGAGCA
rnacentral:rRNA from 1 species